rnacentral:lncRNA from 1 species
AAUAUUGAUCACUAGAGCUAGGAAUUGGGGAACAUGCCUGUAAUCCCAGAGACUCUGGAGGUUGAGACACAAGGAUCCCAAGUUUAAGGCCAGCCUCAGCAACUUGACAAGACCCUGUCUCAAAAUUAAAAAAGAAGACUGAGGAUGAAAUAGCUCAGUGGCAAAGUGCCCCUGUGUUCAAUCCCCAGUAAUUUUUAUAUGUGUAUAUAUAUGAUUUUACACAUCUGCCUUAACAAAAACAGAUGUAUAUGCCAAGCCCUGGUUCAUGAUGUGGAAGACUUUGUCCGUUGUUGGGGACACAGCACCAGCAGAUGACAUCCCCAAAGAAGAAAACAUAGACAAGAAGAGGAAGCUAUGAAACAACCCAGCUCCUAGCAGAGAACCUCAGAAAGGAGCUCUGUGAAUUUAGGAAAUGUAUAAGAUCCAAUGUAGUGUAGAAGCAAAUUUUGUGAAGCAGCUGGAUUAGGAUGAGAUGAUCCUUCAGGCAUCCAAAAAUGAAGACCUUGAGAACAAACCUGUGAGCUUGUGAGACUUCUACAGUUUCACAGCAGUAAAAUCCAGUCACCCUGAGAUAGUCCCCAGGGUGUUUUUGAACUUGAGAAACAACAUAAGACAAACAUGGCUGUGCUCCUGAGCUCUGCAUUGCUGCAUCCUGAACCUAUAACAUGUAUUUUAUUUAUUUACUAUCUAUUUUAUUUAUCUACUUCAUGGCAUUGCAUUGUGUUUUGGACAUUGUUGAUCUGGUGAUUUCCCUGGAUAUGAGUCUGUUUGUUUUCAGUGGUCUGGGCUUGAGAAAGAAAUGUGAUAUAAUUUGGACACUGAAAGAAGCCACAGAAAAAGAAGUGGUUAUGGAAACACUAUGGAUGAAGACUGAACAAUAGCAUGCCUUUUUUUCUUUUUUUUACAAACCAUCUAAGUCAAUAUUAAACACCUUAAAGAUUCUUUAAAUAAAGAAUAAAUCAGUGGAAUAGGUUUCUUCCUUUUCUACCUCUAAUUCACACAGAUUUAGUCCUGUAAUUAUUUCAGACCAUUUUAUUUUACUCACUGCUAUUCCCAUAUUUUUUUUAAGGGAUGUUAUUCAAUUUUUCCGGUCUACUGCCCUGGAUUAACUUUUCCUUUUACUUCUUCUCCUUUCUUCUCUCUUAUUUUCUUUCACUCUAGUCCCAGAAUAAGUCUUUCCAACCAUCUUGUUCAGCCAGUUCAUGGUUUUGGUAUUCUGAGUUCAUUUUCUGUACAUUUCUUAAAUAUAUCAAUUCUGAUUUCUUUUUAAAAAAAUUUAUGUGGUAAUAUAUUAGCAGAAGUAUCAAUACAUUUCUUUGUUAUAAUGAACUCUUUAAUUACCAUCCAUUUUUAUGAUGAUGCAUAAUCAGAGAUAGAUUUCAUAUACAGCCUGGUGAAUUCAAAUGAAUACAUUCUUAUGAGGUUUCAUAUCUUGUAGCCUUACAACAGAAGGCUACAAGAUAUGAAAUUACAACAGAAGGUCAAAGUCAGAGUAUGUUGCAAAUCAUCAGUGAUAUAUGCAAAACUAGCUGAAGUUUCUGAGUUCACUAGAGUAAAUCCAGGGUAAGGGUUAUGAAAAUAAUAAUGCAUCACUGUCAGAAGGAUCAUGUUGGAGUUAAAAGGCCAUGGUUUUCAUGCCAAACACUAAGGCCAAAAUAUGCUUCUCACCAAAGUUUUUACCUGCUAUAAGAGCAGAUGUGGUUCCAGUAGCACUCCUUAACCCCAGACCACUUUGUUUGGUGGAGUCUAAGUUGUUCCCACUGGGACUUCUUAUUCUGUGUGUAUGCAAGAACUGUAAGGCCUUCAGGUCAAACUGUAGAAAGAUGUAUCAGAAGAGACCAGAAUCUUUAGAAUAAUAAAAUUUGAUGUUGAAAUAGUGAAUGUAUGAAGAUUAAUAAACGUUGGCAA